rnacentral:rRNA from 1 species
CCUACGGGAGGCAGCAGUGAGGAAUAUUGGUCAAUGGACGAGAGCCUGAACCAGCCAAGUAGCGUGAAGGAUGACUGCCCUAUGGGUGGUAAACUUCUUUUAUAUGGGAAUAAAGUGUUCCACGUGUGGGAUUUUGUAUGUACCUUAUGAAUAAGGAUAGGCUAACUCCGUGCCAGCAGCCGCGGUAAUGUGGAGGAUCCGAGCGUUAUGCGGAUUGAUUGGGUUUAAAGGGAGCGUAGGUGGAUUGUUAAGUCAGUUGUGAAAGUUUGCGGCUCAACCGUAAAAUUGCAGUUGAAACUGGCAGUCUUGAGUACAGUAGAGGUGGGCGGAAUUCGAGGUGUAGCGGUGAAAUGCGUAGAUAUCACGAAGAACUCCGAUUGCGAAGGCAGUUCACUGGACUGAAACUGACACUGAGGCGCGAAAGUGUGGGUAUCAAACAGGAUUAGAUACCCCUGUAGUC